rnacentral:rRNA from 1 species
ACGUACUGUGCGAACGUUAUUCGGAAUCACUGGGCUUAAAGGGUGCGUAGGCGGCCAGUUAAGUAGGGUGUGAAAGCUCUCGGCUCAACCGAGGAAUUGCGCUCUAAACUGAUUGGCUUGAGUGAGAUAGGGGUGUGCGGAACUUCCGGUGGAGCGGUGAAAUGUGUUGAUAUCGGAAGGAACACCAGUAGCGAAGGCGGCACACUGGGUCUUCACUGACGCUGAGGCACGAAAGCUAGGGGAGCGAACGGG